rnacentral:rRNA from 1 species
CAUUACUGAGUUACCGCUCUAUAACCCUUUGUGAACGUACCUAACCGUUGCUUCGGCGGGCAGGGGAAGCCUCUCGCGGGCCUCCCCUCCCGGCGCCGGCCCCCACCACGGGGACGGGGCGCCCGCCGGAGGAAACCAAACUCUAUUUACACGACGUCUCUUCUGAGUGGCACAAGCAAAUAAUUAAAACUUUUAACAACGGAUCUCUUGGUUCUGGCAUCGAUGAAGAACGCAGCGAAAUGCGAUAAGUAAUGUGAAUUGCAGAAUUCAGUGAAUCAUCGAAUCUUUGAACGCACAUUGCGCUCGCCAGCAUUCUGGCGAGCAUGCCUGUUCGAGCGUCAUUUCAACCCUCAAGCACCGCUUGGUUUUGGGGCCCCACGGCCGACGUGGGCCCUUAAAGGUAGUGGCGGACCCUCCCGGAGCCUCCUUUGCGUAGUAACUAACGUCUCGCACUGGGAUCCGGAGGGACUCUUGCCGUUAAACCCCCAAAUUCUUUACAGGUGACCUCGGAUCAGGUAGGAAUACCCGCUGAACUUAAGCAUAUCAAUAAGCGGAGGA